UGGUGGGUAGUUUGACUGGGGCGGUCUCCUCCUAAAGAGUAACGGAGGAGCACGAAGGUUGGCUAAUCCUGGUCGGACAUCAGGAGGUUAGUGCAAUGGCAUAAGCCAGCUUGACUGCGAGCGUGACGGCGCGAGCAGGUGCGAAAGCAGGUCAUAGUGAUCCGGUGGUUCUGAAUGGAAGGGCCAUCGCUCAACGGAUAAAAGGUACUCCGGGGAUAACAGGCUGAUACCGCCCAAGAGUUCAUAUCGACGGCGGUGUUUGGCACCUCGAUGUCGGCUCAUCACAUCCUGGGGCUGAAGUAGGUCCCAAGGGUAUGGCUGUUCGCCAUUUAAAGUGGUACGCGAGCUGGGUUUAGAACGUCGUGAGACAGUUCGGUCCCUAUCUGCCGUGGGCGCUGGAGAACUGAGGGGGGCUGCUCCUAGUACGAGAGGACCGGAGUGGACGCAUCACUGGUGUUCGGGUUGU
rnacentral:rRNA from 2 species